rnacentral:tRNA from 1 species
GGAGAGGUGGCCGAGCUGGCUGAAGGCACCACACUGCUAACGUGGCAGGGGGUAAAACUCCUCGCGGGUUCGAAUCCCGCCCUCUCCGCGA